rnacentral:rRNA from 1 species
GAUGAACGCUAGCGGCAGGCCUAAUACAUGCAAGCCGAGGGAGAAUGUUGGAUUCGUCUGACAUGAAACCGGCGCACGGGUGCGUAACACGUAUGCAACCUACCUUUAACUGGGGUAUAGCUCAGAGAAAUCUGAAUUAAUCCCCCAUAAGACUACGACAUGGCAUCAUGAUGUAGUUAAAGCUCCGGCGGUUAAGGAUGGGCAUGCGGUACAUUAGCUAGUUGGUGAGGUAAUGGCUCACCAAGGCUACGAUGUAUAGGGGGUCUGAGAGGAUGAUCCCCCACACUGGUACUGAGACACGGACCAGACUCCUACGGGAGGCAGCAGUAGGGAAUAUUGGUCAAUGGACGCAAGUUUGAACCAGCCAUGCCGCGUGAAGGAUGAAGGCCCUAUGGGUCGUAAACUUCUUUUAUUAGGGAAGAAAAAACGGGAUGCGUCCUGUACUGACGGUACUUAAUGAAUAAGGAUCGGCUAACUUCGUGCCAGCAGCCGCUGUAA